rnacentral:rRNA from 1 species
GAUGAACGCUGGCGGCGUGCCUAAUACAUGCAAGUCGAGCGAACGGACGAGAAGCUUGCUUCUCUGAUGUUAGCGGCGGACGGGUGAGUAACACGUGGAUAACCUACCUAUAAGACUGGGAUAACUUCGGGAAACCGGAGCUAAUACCGGAUGAUAUUUUGAACCGCAUGGUUCAAAAGUGAAAGACGGUCUUGCUGUCACUUAUAGAUGGAUCCGCGCUGCAUUAGCUAGUUGGUAAGGUAACGGCUUACCAAGGCAACGAUGCAUAGCCGACCUGACAGGGUGAUCGGCCACACUGGAACUGAGACACGGUCCAGACUCCUACGGGAGGCAGCAGUAGGGAAUCUUCCGCAAUGGGCGAAAGCCUGACGGAGCAACGCCGCGUGAGUGAUGAAGGUCUUCGGAUCGUAAAACUCUGUUAUUAGGGAAGAACAUAUGUGUAAGUAACUGUGCACAUCUUGACGGUACCUAAUCAGAAAGCCACGGCUAACUACGUG